GUUUUAGCUGACGACACUCGAGAGCGCCAAUUUUCCUAGAUUCGAUUUUGUGGUUUGGAAGUGUGGUUUUUGGAAUCCAGAGUAGUCGCCUCGUUCUAGUAUCCAAUUGCUCCAGCACCAAUUGGUGAAAAGACCAUCGUUCUUCUACUCAGUCGCAUUUGAAGCUUUGUCAAAAACCAGACACAAUUGGAGACACAGGUUCUUUUAUCAAGGCCUUGACUGGAAUGGCAUAUUUUCAGAUAUGACCACAUUGCUUUGAGGAAAUGAGGUUGAUGUUGUAGAGCUGAUAAAACCCCCACGGAAAGGCCAGCCUACCUCUGCUGGGUUGUAGACCUUCAUGACUGGGAUGUCACAGAUACAAUAGAUUUCAUCAUUGAAGACACAUGCUUCCUGAAAGUCACUACGUUUAAGAGAAGCACAGUUCAGCCACAUAUUGUGGCUAGGAUCAUAGCAAAGCAUGCGCUUACUGUUAACAGCAUAAAGAUAGUUCUGAACCACUAUGAGUUCAAAGGAAUA
rnacentral:antisense_RNA from 1 species